AAAAUUACAUGACACUGAAUCUGCACUUCCUCCACUAUCGAAGGCUAUUUGGGGACAAAGAAGUCACUUACAUUUCGCCUACAUAGCCGGUUUUAAAUGGCAUACUCGACUCAGAGCCGGACAAAACCAUUUCGUAUAUAGUAACUUGCCAUGUUGUAUAACUCGUAUGAAGACUGUCAUGAUCCUCCACGUCUGCACAAUGUUGACAAUUCUCUGAUUCAAAAGUUGGAUUUUUGAUUGCUCUGGACGGGCCAAAAAAGAAGAUAGAAGCGGCGUAUGCGGUGU